UUAAGUUCAGUGGGUAGUCCUACCUGAUCCGAGGUCAAAUUCAUGGGGGUAGCUUCUGGGAGCCGAUCCGUCGGGCCCGAGUUCGCGUUUCUGCUGCGCUCGAAGCCAACGUGCCGGUCGCCAAUAGAUUUGAGGCGAGUCCGCGCCGUGAGGCAGGACAGACGCCCAACACAAGCAGAGCUUGAAGGUUUGAAUGACGC
rnacentral:misc_RNA from 1 species